rnacentral:rRNA from 1 species
CCUACGGGGGACAGCAGUCGAGAAUCAUUCACAAUGGGGGAAACCCUGAUGGUGCGACGCCGCGUGGGGGAAUGAAGGUCUUCGGAUUGUAAACCCCUGUCAUGUGGGAGCAAAUUAAAAAGAUAGUACCACAAGAGGAAGAGACGGCUAACUCUGUGCCAGCAGCCGCGGUAAUACAGAGGUCUCAAGCGUUGUUCGGAAUCACUGGGCGUAAAGCGUGCGUAGGCUGUUUCGUAAGUCGGGUGUGAAAGGCGCGGGCUCAACCCGCGGACGGCACAUGAUACUGGGAGACUAGAGUAAGGGAGGGGGAAGCGGAAUUCUCGGUGUAGCAGUGAAAUGCGUAGAUAUCGAGAGGAACACUCGUGGCGAAGGCGGGUUCCUGGACAUUAACUGACGCUGAGGCACGAAGGCCAGGGGAGCGAAAGGGAUUAGAUACCCUGGUAGUC